rnacentral:rRNA from 1 species
UACGGGGGGGGCAAGCGUUGUUCGGAAUUACUGGGCGUAAAGGGCUUGUAGGUGGCCAACUAAGUCAGACGUGAAAUCCCCCGGCUUAACCGGGGAACUGCGUCUGAUACUGGAUGGCUUGAGUUCGGGAGAGGGAUGCGGAAUUCCAGGUGUAGCGGUGAAAUGCGUAGAUAUCUGGAGGAACACCGGUGGCGAAGGCGGCAUCCUGGACCGACACUGACGCUGAGGAGCGAAAGCCAGGGGAGCAAACGGG